GACGAACCGUGCGAACGUUGUUCGGAAUCACUGGGCUUAAAGGGCGCGUAGGCGGGCUGUCGCGUCUGGGGUGAAAUCCUCCGGCUCAACCGGGGAAGGGCCUCGGGUACGGACGGCCUCGAGGGGGGUAGGGGCGUGCGGAACUGUGGGUGGAGCGGUGAAAUGCGUUGAUAUCCACAGGAACUCCGGUGGCGAAGGCGGCACGCUGGACCCCUUCUGACGCUGAGGCGCGAAAGCCAGGGGAGCAAACGGG
rnacentral:rRNA from 1 species